rnacentral:lncRNA from 1 species
UAAGAACAUGAACUUAGCCCAGGUACCCAUCAACAGAUGAACGGAUGAAGAAAAUGUGAUAUAUAUACACAAUGGAAUUCUACUCAGCCAUAAAGAAGGAUGAAAUGAUGGCAUUUGCUGGUAAAUGGAUGGAACUGGAGAACAGCAUGCUAAGUGAAAUAAGCCAGACUUAGAAAGUCAAGGGUCAGAUGUUUUCCCCCAUAUCCAAAAACUAGAGAGAAGU